AUUGAACGCUGGCGGCAUGCUUUACACAUGCAAGUCGAACGGUAACAGGCCGCAAGGUGCUGACGAGUGGCGAACGGGCGAGUAAUGCAUCGGAACGUGCCCAGUCGUGGGGGAUAACUACUCGAAAGAGUAGCUAAUACCGCAUACGAUCUAUGGAUGAAAGCGGGGGACCGUAAGGCCUCGCGCGAUUGGAGCGGCCGAUGUCGGAUUAGGUAGUUGGUGGGGUAAAGGCUCACCAAGCCAACGAUCUGUAGCUGGUCUGAGAGGACGACCAGCCACACUGGGACUGAGACACGGCCCAGACUCCUACGGGAGGCAGCAGUGGGGAAUUUUGGACAAUGGGCGCAAGCCUGAUCCAGCAAUGCCGCGUGCAGGAAGAAGGCCUUCGGGUUGUAAACUGCUUUUGUCCGGAAGGAAACGGCUCUGGUUAAUACCCGGAGCUAAUGACGGUACCGUAAGAAUAAGCACCGGCUAACUACGUG
rnacentral:rRNA from 1 species